rnacentral:misc_RNA from 1 species
GUGAGGCAUUCGUUGGGGAGUGCGAUGAUUAGCUCAAUACCGGUGUCCGCGAAAGCGCGGAGAACUUUGGGCUCCGCGUUGUAGAUUUUGACGCGGCCGACGCCGAUGGAAACCAGGAGGGCGGGGACUUUGUCGGGGGAGGGGAGGUUGUCGGCGACGAGGCCGUAGUUGAUGCCGACGAUGGAAGAGGAGGUAGCGGAGGAGGG